rnacentral:rRNA from 1 species
AACGCCUGGCGGCGUGCCUAACACAUGCAAGUUCGAGCGAAGCACUUAUUUUCAGAAUUUCUUCCGGAAUUGACGAGGUUUGUGACUGAGCGGCGGAACGGGUUGAGUAACGCGUGGGCAACCUGCCCUGUACAGGGGGAAUAACAGUUAGAAAUGACUGCUAAUACCGCAUAAGCCCACAGCUUCGCAUGAAGCAGUGGGAAAAACUCCGGUGGUACAGGAUGGGCCCGCGUCUGAUUAGCUAGUUGGUAAGGUAACGGCUUACCAAGGCGACGAUCAGUAGCCGACCUGAGAGGGUGACCGGCCACAUUGGGACUGAGACACGGCCCAAACUCCUACGGGAGGCAGCAGUGGGGAAUAUUGCACAAUGGGGGAAACCCUGAUGCAGCGACGCCGCGUGAGCGAUGAAGUAUUUCGGUAUGUAAAGCUCCAUCAGCAGGGAAGAAAGUGACGGUACCUGACUAAGAAGCCCCGGCUAACUACGUGCCAGCAGCCGCGGUAAUACGUAGGGGGCAAGCGUUAUCCGGAUUUACUGGGUGUAAAGGGAGCGUAGACGGAAGUGCAAGUCUGAAGUGAAAGCCCGGGGCUCAACCCCGGGACUGCUUUGGAAACUGUAUUUCUAGAGUGCUGGAGAGGUAAGUGGAAUUCCUAGUGUAGCGGUGAAAUGCGUAGAUAUUAGGAGGAACACCAGUGGCGAAGGCGGCUUACUGGACAGUGACUGACGUUGAGGCUCGAAAGCGUGGGGAGCAAACAGGAUUAGAUACCCUGGUAGUCCACGCCGUAAACGAUGACUACUAGGUGUCGGUGAGCAAAGCUCAUCGGUGCCGCAGCAAACGCAAUAAGUAGUCCACCUGGGGAGUACGUUCGCAAGAAUGAAACUCGAAGGAAUUGACGGGGACCCGCACAAGCGGUGGAGCAUGUGGUUUAAUUCGAAGCAACGCGAAGAACCUUACCUGAUCUUGACAUCCCGGUGACCGCAGAGUAAUGUCUGUUUUCCUUCGGGACACCGGUGACAGGUGGUGCAUGGUUGUCGUCAGCUCGUGUCGUGAGAUGUUGGGUUAAGUCCCGCAGCGAGCGCAACCCUUAUCCUUAGUAGCCAGCAUUUAGGUGGGCACUCUAAGGAGACUGCCAGGGACAACCUGGAGGAAGGUGGGGAUGACGUCAAAUCAUCAUGCCCCUUAUGACCAGGGCUACACACGUGCUACAAUGGCGUAAACAAAGGGAAGCGAGCCUGCGAAGGUAAGCAAAACCCAAAAAUAACGUCUCAGUUCGGAUUGUAGUCUGCAAACUCGACUACAUGAAGCUGGAAUCGCUAGUAAUCGCGGAUCAGAAAUGCCGCGGUGAAAUACGUUCCCGGGCCU